CGUCAGGGGCCUCGGGGCGCCGCCGCUCUGUAAGUGCCAGAGCUACGGCAAGAGGAGGAGUGUUGUCAACGCGAGGACAAGCGAGGGAUGGUGAUGCCUGCAACCUAUGGCUGAACUGGAGGUAAUUCACUAGCGGAUCAAUAACCUACCCAAGGUUCCUGAAAGGCUGCGACACUGUACGGAGCCUGAGUAGCGAUAAAAUCAUUCAUUUAUUUAAUGUUUGGUAGUUUGAUGGUACCCAAUAAACGUUCAGAUUUGUGCUGUAACUGUUUAUUUCCUGCUUAUAGUCGAAAAGAAAAUAAAAUAAAAACUGAUAAUUACCUCUUAAAAAUCCGUAUCUAAUGAGGAGGGGGUUUAAAGGAGCAUAAUUACUUCUCUUCAUGGGUUGCAAUGCAUCUGUGCUUUUUCAGGUCAAAUUGGGGCCUUGUGAGAACGAACGUGACUGUGGACAAUAAGAAUGAUUUUUAGCAGUGAUCAGUGUAAACAGGAGAAGCUGUCAUUUUUUAAUAUUUAUUUUGCCCCAGUUAUUAACUAAUGUAACUUGUGAAACAAAACCAAAAGUAUGUUUGAAAUGAUACGGAAACUAGACAAAGAAUAUUUUGUGCAUAAAGACGCUGAAGCUCUCAACUCUAUAACUUUUAACAAAAAUUCAAUUCAAAUUGUAUUUCUGUGCAGCUGAGGAAAGGCUGAGUUGAGCAUUUUUAUAUGUACGCUUCCAAGGCCCGCGAGCUGGGUAUACGAGCCUACUGCUUGAGCUUUGUGCUUGGCACAGCGAGAAAGCUUGCUGCAGCCACCCUUCGGCUUCAUUGCACAAACGUUAACAGUGAAAGGUUAGAGAAGGGAGGCGAGAAUGUCACGUAUUUCCAUAAAGUCCUGUUAUAAAAAGUGAUAAAAAUUAGAUUUUUAUAGCAGAUGCCUAGCUGCUGUGCAUUUUGAUGUAUAAUUAUCAAAUGCCCUAAAAAAAA